rnacentral:rRNA from 1 species
UACAGAGGUCUCAAGCGUUGUUCGGAUUCAUUGGGCGUAAAGGGUUCGUAGGCGGCGAGGUAAGUCGGAUGUGAAAUCUCAGGGCUCAACCCUGAAACUGCAUUCGAUACUGCCUUGCUCGAGGACUCGAGAGGAGAUUGGAAUUCACGGUGUAGCAGUGAAAUGCGUAGAUAUCGUGAGGAAGACCAGUGGCGAAGGCGGAUCUCUGGAGAGUUCCUGACGCUGAGGCACGAAGGCCAGGGGAGCAAACGGG